rnacentral:rRNA from 1 species
CGAACGGGUGAGUAAUGCGUGACCAACCUGCCCCAUGCUCCAGAAUAGCUCUUGGAAACGGGUGGUAAUGCUGGAUGCUCCAACUUGACGCAUGUCUUGUUGGGAAAGUGUUUAGUGGCAUGGGAUGGGGUCGCGUCCUAUCAGCUUGUAGGCGGGGUAAUGGCCCACCUAGGCUUCGACGGGUAGCCGACCUGAGAGGGCGGACGGCCACAUUGGGACUGAGAUACGGCCCAGACUCCUACGGGAGGCAGCAGCC